ACUCCUACGGGAGGCAGCAGUAGGGAAUCUUCCGCAAUGGACGAAAGUCUGACGGAGCAACGCCGCGUGAGUGAUGAAGGUUUUCGGAUCGUAAAGCUCUGUUGUUAGGGAAGAACAAGUGCAAGAGUAACUGCUUGCACCUUGACGGUACCUAACCAGAAAGCCACGGCUAACUACGUGCCAGCAGCCGCGGUAAU
rnacentral:rRNA from 1 species